UGUAUGGUGUCUUGCAUUGCUAUGUCAUUUGCUUAGUUUAUACAUGCUUUGUGUGAAUGCCACCUAUUUAGUGUCUAAUUACUAUAUAUGUGAAUUAUGCAAUGCCAUCUUGUUGCAAGACAUUAUAUAUGUGAAUUAUGCAACGCCAUGCUGUUUAGCCAAUCAUCAUAUAUGUGAAUUAUAUCAUGUCGUCCUUUUUUUGUAUUUCUCAUUGCAUUUGUCGACAAUUUUUGUAUAUUCAACUGCUCUUCCUAUGCAUCAGUCAUUUGAAUUGGUGAUGAAGAAAUCUGGAGUGAAAACAAUGUCUUCAGAGAAGAUAUCUUGCUGGUUACAGAUAGCUCUUCAAAGCAGUAUUCAGAGGUAGAUGACCAGUCCUAUCAUCCCCCUAAGGUGUAUGCUCAAACUUGGCAGGGUUAUAUUACUCAUAUCAUGCAUAUGUUGUAUUGCAAUGCUUAGUUUUUACAUCAUAUACACAAUAUUGAAUGCCAUCUCCUUAGUUGACACAUCAUAUAUGCGAUUGCUCUCUACUCACUUGAUUAGUAUAUAAAUCAUAUAUUUGAAUUAUAUCAUGCCAUGAUGUUUACAUAGACAGCAUGUAUCUGAGUCAUGGCAGGCCAACCCAUUUUCUUAAGACAUAAUAUAGUAAUAUCAUCUCAUCCUAUUUACAUAGUCAUCAUAUUUUGAAUUAUAUCAUUCUAUCCGUGAAUUAUAUCAUGCCAUCAUGUUUCCAUCGACGGUAUGUUUGUGAUUUGUGGCAUGCCAACCACUUUAAUAGACACAUCGUAUAGUUACAUCAUGUCAUCUUGUUUACAUAGUCAUCAUAUUUUGAAGUAUGUCAUUCUAUCAUGUUUAGUUAGCCAUCAUACAUGUGAAAUUCUGUCAUGCUAUCUUGUUUAAUUAGCCAUCAUAUAUGAGAAAUUAUGUCCUGCUAUUCUGUUUGGUUAGAUAACAUAAAUGUGAAUUCUUUCAUGCCCCGUUUUCUUCCCUACUAUCAGUGUACCUGUCUAUCUUACAAUGUAUGUACAUUCAAUUACAUUUCUUGUUUAUCAGCCAUUUCAAUUGGAGGGGGUGAUGACAGUAUCUGUGGGAGUAAAAACACAGUCUUUAGAAAAAAUCAUGCUACCUGUCGAUGCAGAUAGAACAAUGGUUUUACUUUCCCAAGAACCAGCCCGGCCCACCACAGAUAACCCAGACUCACGCAGAUUAUACCCCAACCCAGUUGGACAGAGAACCAGCUACACCCCUUCUAACCCCAACCCCAGCAGAUAGUAACCCAGUUCUAGUUGACACAACACCGUCUCCCCCAUAGAGCACCCAAACACGAGCAAUUAGUAAGGCAACUGCAGUUCCCAAAGCACGAGGACCACCACUCUGAACCCCGAGUCAACGCUUAAUGCAAAAGAAGAAUUGUUCUCAGGAUGCUAUUGAAACUUCAAUGGAGCAACAGAACGCGAAUAAAAUAUUGGAGAAGAGUAACCUAUUAUGCCAUGGUAAAGGAAGUAAUGCAGAUAAGGUUCAAGAUAGUGAGACAUCCCCGUUGGUCUCCAAGAAAGCUGACAAAAACUAUAUUGAAGACACUGAGACAACCCCAAAGUCCUGUCUUGAUGUAGUGCUCGAGUUACUGGCUACUACUGCUGGCACCAGCUCUUCAAACUUGCUGCUUGAAUCAGUUCGGCUUCUUGAGUCUCAACUUCAAGUUGAAAGACAUCGAUUAGAUAUUAUGUGACAGGAAGCCGAAGGACUGAGGAAGUCCCUGCAGAAUUCAGAUGCAUACUUUCUAGUGCAACAUCAAGUGCUGGAGGAUUUAAGCGCCAAACAAAAGAAAGCUAAUAAGCUUGCUAAGCAUCUUGCCAGCAUUAUGGGUACCCAGGAUAUUGUUUCUUGAGCUCUUCUGAAGUGGUUCAAUUCUGUACUUGUUUUGCUGCGGUGUUUAUUUGCACUGGUUGCCAACUUUGACAAUAAGUGUAUAUGAUAUGCGGCUUUGUUCCCAAUAUUUGCACUAGUGGUGAACUUUGAUGCCCAGUGGAUGUAAUAUGUGUAAUAGUCGUGAUAGCCUAGCAUAAGUUGCUUGCUUAUUUAUUUCCUUGA
rnacentral:rRNA from 1 species